rnacentral:rRNA from 1 species
AUUGAACGCUGGCGGCAUGCUUUACACAUGCAAGUCGAACGGUAACAGGGUGCUUGCACCGCUGACGAGUGGCGAACGGGUGAGUAAUGCGUCGGAACGUGCCGAGUAGUGGGGGAUAACGCAGCGAAAGUUGUGCUAAUACCGCAUACGUACUGAGGUAGAAAGUGGGGGACCUUCGGGCCUCACGCUAUUCGAGCGGCCGACGUCUGAUUAGCUAGUAGGUGAGGUAAAGGCUCACCUAGGCGACGAUCAGUAGCGGGUCUGAGAGGAUGAUCCGCCACACUGGGACUGAGACACGGCCCAGACUCCUACGGGAGGCAGCAGUGGGGAAUUUUGGACAAUGGGCGAAAGCCUGAUCCAGCCAUGCCGCGUGUCUGAAGAAGGCCUUCGGGUUGUAAAGGACUUUUGUCGGGGAGGAAAUCCCCAGCGUUAAUACCGCUGGGGGAUGACAGUACCUGAAGAAUAAGCACCGGCUAACUACGUGCCAGCCGCCGCCGUAA